CACGUAGGGGGCGAGCGUUGUCCGGAUUUAUUGGGCGUAAAGAGCUCGUAGGCGGCUCGGUAAGUCGGGUGUGAAACCUCCAGGCUCAACCUGGAGACGCCACCUGAUACUGCUGUGGCUAGAGUCCGGUAGGGGAGUGUGGAACUCCUGGUGUAGCGGUGAAAUGCGCAGAUAUCAGGAGGAACACCGGUGGCGAAGGCGGGUCUCUGGGCAGUAACUGACGCUGAGGGGCGAAAGCGUGGGGAGCGAACAGG
rnacentral:rRNA from 1 species